rnacentral:lncRNA from 1 species
GUCUUGCAUUAAUUUUUAGUCUGGACCCAAUUAAAGGCCAAGUCAAUUGGGGGCGUAAUGAUAAUGAGUCGACACUAGAUUGAAAUUUUUAAUUAAUUUGAAUAAUAAAAGUCAUAUUAUAGACAUAAUUAGCAAUAAAAACAACUACAAUGUCUGAAUUGUUACUAUUUGGGAGUUCUGUGGCAUAUUUUAAGUGUUCUGUGGUAUAUUUUUAGUGUUCUGUGGUAUUCUGUGGUGUUCUGUGGUAUUCUGUGGUGUUCUGUGGUAAAAAGACGCUCCCGGUUCCAACCCCCAGA